AGCGACCUUGCCUCGUGGUGGGGGAUAGCCGGCCCAACGGCCGGGUAAUACCGCAUAUGGUAGUUCUUUCGCAUGGGAGAACUAGCAAAGCUGAGUCGUAAGACUUGGCGCCACAGGGGGGGCUCGCGGCCUAUCAGCUAGUUGGGGGGGUAAUGGCCCACCAAGGCGACGCGGGUAGCUGGUCUGAGAGGAUGGCCAGCCACAUUGGGACUGAGAGACGGCCCAG
rnacentral:rRNA from 1 species